rnacentral:lncRNA from 1 species
AAAGACAGAGUAGUUGAGACUUUGCACAUCCCAAAUUUCCUCUGCCCAUCACAGCAACUGGAGCUGAGAGCCAAAUUCACAGGCUGACCAAGAGUAAGAUUCUUUCCGGCGAUAUGCUUUUGAAAACUUGGAAAUUGUGAAUUAUGUUUAUGAGAUUCAUUUCUAAACUGCACCAGAGCUUAUAAAAUAUUACUAUUUACAAUAUCCCGGAACAACAAACACAGCAUGGAAGCAGCUGCCUCAUCAGAGACUGAGCCACAACGAUCUCAGACAUUUGUCUAUUUAUCAUGGAUUGGAUUUCUUUGGCAAACAAUUCAAUAAGGAAGAGGAGCACACCAGUCCAAUGCUAUACUCGACGUUGCAGUGAAAUUUGCCGCUCACCAUCACCCCAAACACUUAGUACUUCUACUUGCAGCUGCCAUGGAUGGAUUUGAGAAGACCAUGGUGACUCAAAUAGGCCACGUGGAGCAAAGUGAAUGUGGCACAAACUUUGCCUUUGAACUGAAUUCUGAUGAGAAUGGACAUUAGCAAUGAAAUUUGGAAGUCUAUAAUUUGGAAGAAUUUAUCCUAUGCAUUGGGUUAUAAGAACUCUUUACAUAUUAAGGAUUCUUACAAUGAGUGUGCCAGACAUGAGUAAACAUGAAAGACAAAAAGAAGAAAAGUUUGAUUCAUCUUGACUGGAUGAAGCUGAAUGAGACCAAGAAGCUAUCCCUGCUCUUUGCCUUCACACUUGACGGGGGAGGAUGUGAAUGGCUGUGUGAAGGGGGUGGAGAGACUACUACUGUGGGAACAAUUCCCAGGAAUGCUCUAUCUUCCCCUCUCACUCAGUGUCUACCUGUGUAUUUCCACGGCACUAAUUACUAUGUGGGGGCCCUGACAGAUCACAUUAGCCCAGGGAGAGCAUAAGAGUCAAGGAGAAAGAUUUUCACAUUCUCCUAAAGUUCUGCCUAUAGUUUACAGGUACAGUUUUGGGAACUUUUUUCUCCCAAUCAUUCAAAAUAUUGACUACAAUGUUGCAUUAAUACAAUGCAUCAAUAUUCCUUAGUGUAAUUAAUUUUUUCCUACUAAAUUUGAAGAUUUUGAAUACUUUCUCUUUUGGAGUCAGGCCUACGUUUUUAUUAUUAUAUUUUUUUCACAGUCUUGGUUGAAAAAGUUGAAGUCUGAGAAAAAGAGAAUAUUGAUGCCAUGAGUUCCUUUUCUCCCUGUACACCAGAGAUCCAACUGAAGGGUAGUGAUAAAUUCUUGCCUUCCAAUAGCCAACUCCAAACCAUCACCAAGUGCUCCUUCAUAUACAAGUUACUUCCUCUCUAUAUUCCUAUAUCAUUUCACCUUUGACUGUCAUUGUCUCCAGUACUAUGACUUAAAAUUAUUUAUUUACCUGGAUUUACUGGAUUAUAACUCCAAAAAGCUGGGAAAUUUGUCUUAUUUUUCUUUGUAUUUUCUCCAAACCUAUGUGUAGGGUAAGCCACAUGGUAAUUGCUUAUUGAAGGAAUUGACAAUUCAUUGAAUAAUCUCUUUGUUUUGUUCUCACACUACUUCCAAACUUGAUCAACAUCGGAGUCUGCCAAAUGCUUUUACGAACU